rnacentral:rRNA from 1 species
GACGAACGCUGGCGGCGUGCUUAACACAUGCAAGUCGAACGGAAAGGCCCUGCUUUUGUGGGGUGCUCGAGUGGCGAACGGGUGAGUAACACGUGAGUAACCUGCCCUUGACUUUGGGAUAACUUCAGGAAACUGGGGCUAAUACCGGAUAGGAGCUCCUGCUGCAUGGUGGGGGUUGGAAAGUUUCGGCGGUUGGGGAUGGACUCGAGGCUUAUCAGCUUGGUGGUGGGUAGUGGCUUACCAAGGCUUUGACGGGUAGCCGGCCUGGGAGGGUGACCGGCCACAUUGGGACUGAGAUACGGCCCAGACUCCUACGGGAGGCAGCAGGGGGGAAUAUUGCACAAUGGGCGGAAGCCUGAUGCAGCAACGCCGCGUGCGGGAUGACGGCCUUCGGGGUGUAAACCGCUUUCGCCUGUGACGAAGCGUGAGUGACGGUAAUGGGUAAAGAAGCACCGGCUAACUACGUG